GGGAAUAUGUCAUAUAUUGCUCUACCUUAUCUAAUCCUCACGACAUCCCUAUGAGGCAGGGGCCUUCAUGACACUCUUCAUCAUAGAUGAGGGAACUGAGGCAUAGAGAGAUGAAGGCCACACACAAAGCAAGUGGCAGAGCUGGACUUGGACCCAAUGCUCUGGCUCCAGGAUCCACAUGCCCAUCACUCCGCUAGACUAACUCUCAAGACAGGUCUGGAAACAAAACCCGUGGACUUCAGUGAAUAGAACACAGAGGCACUGUGAGAUUAGGCAGCUUGCUGGAAGUCAUGCAGCUAGAACGUGACAGAACCAGAACUCCAAACUCAGCCCGGUCUCCAUAUCCCACACUCCUAACCAGGGGUUCUCACAAUGUGGUCUCGGGACCAGCAGCAUCAGUGUCGCCUGGGAACGGGGUAGAAAUGCAGGCUCACCCAAUUGGACUCUCCAGCGGUGGCACGUGGUUGGUUGUACUUCAACAUGCCCUCCCCUCCGGGCGAUUAUCAUGCAAGCCGAAGCCCUGAAGACGCAGAAUGAUGGGGAGCUCUGCCUUGGAAGGCAUCUUUUUGCAUGUCUGGGCAAUGCUAAUCCUUAGGAAGCGAACCCUGACUCCUCUUAUUUCACCUGUUCUAUUCUACCCCUGGGGCCAAGGAGAUGAAGUCUGUCCUUGUCUUAUCGUAUUUUCAUAGCUUGGUCCCCACGGCCCUGGCUCAGCCAGGAAAAUUAGAAAACUUCCUGGAGGGCAGGAAGGGCUCACCUGGUGGACAGGUAAAGAGGCAGGAGUCUCUGCCAGGAUGAGCAAGACGGUGAGAAGCAGGACCAGUUGGACAGAAGGGGCCAUCUGAGGGCCGGAAGGAUGGGCGCUCUGCAAAGAGAGGGUGCUGCCAUUGGGAACAAGUGAAGUUGACCAUAUGACAACAAGGGAAAGAGCCAUGAAGUCCAAAGCUUGAAGCCACAGGAAGACAGAUUUAAUAUAAAGUAGGAUGUAAGCUCGACUGGACAGUGACUUCGUUUUGGUUGGCUGCUACUUCGAUGGACAACCUGUCACAGACCUGGGCACAGCAGGCUCUCGUUAAAGACUGCUGAAUAAAUGAAGAGCUUGUAGGAGAGUGAUUGCACUUGGGGCCCCAAUUCUCCACCGUUUCCUGCAUCCAGCCCCUGCGCAAUGCACCUUUGCCACCUGCUCAUCAAGAGGCGGUCUUCUUCCUGACCUCCUGAUGUGGGCCGGCCGUGCAGCUUGGUUCAGCUGAUAAAACCCGGUGAGAGUGAGUCGUGCUGGGUGCAAUCCUGGCCCCAAGAGGCCAGGCACACCUCUGUUCCCUCUGUCUUGCUCACUCUUGGAACCCCACCACUGCCACCUGAAAAUGCUGACUAGUCUGCUAGAGAAUGGAGACCUUUUUCAGACAAGGUUGAUUCUUGCUGAGUGACAACUCACUACUCCCGCCUCUUUCACCUCCUCACACUCUAUGUAUCACUCGUCAGAGCAACGGGAAGCUGUGAAGUCUAUUUUAAGCAGGAGGAAAUGAGAACACAUAUGGCUUGAGCUAGACGGGGCUGAUGAAGACGGGGAAGGCCGUGGGGAUAUAUCCGGGAUAUAUUUUGGAGGUGGAACCAGAAGGCAUUCGGGGGGAUCAGUGAGUGGUCACCCAAGAGAGACACGCUGAAGAUGGACCAGGACACUCCUGCUGUUCACCUGCUCACACAGCGAAGGCACCUGCGCCAGGCCCCCGAGGAGAUGAAGCAGGAGGAAAACCACGGCUGUUGCCCAAUUUGCAGCUUCUGGCCACCUUCCUGGUCCCACAAGGACCCCUGUGGGCAAUAGUCUCCCUUCUCGCCACUGAAGAAGGAAGCAGGAGAGCCGAGGCCCAGCAUUCAAGGCCGCAAUCCAGGCUCUCUGGUCUGCUGGCCAGUCAAUAAAAAGGACCGUGGACGUGGUGGCCUGUGAGUCACGGGAGGCCCGUCACAGGCUGUCACAGUGGUGAUUGUGGGCACCAUGUUCUGAAGACAAAGUCAUGUCGCCGAGGAUGCCUCCAGCUCAUUGCCUCCAACUCCUGGUAGUAUUCAGCAAAAUCAGAGUUACUGAAUUUUUAAAAACAAUUUUCACACAAAUAGGCAGCAAGCCUGGGCUGAUGUUUCAUUCAGCUCACUGCAGACAGACCAGCAGUAGGUCAGAGCUGGUUCAGAAGAGGA
ensembl:lncRNA